UACGGAGGGUGCAAGCGUUGUCCGGAAUCACUGGGCGUAAAGGGCGCGUAGGCGGCUCAUGAAGGCUGUGGUGAAAGUCCGGGGCUCAACCUCGGAUCGGCCGUGGCGACUCGUGGGCUGGAGCACUGUAGAGGCAGGUGGAAUUCCGGGUGUAGCGGUGGAAUGCGUAGAGAUCCGGAAGAACACCAGUGGCGAAGGCGGCCUGCUGGGCAGUGGCUGACGCUGAGACGCGAAAGCGUGGGGAGCAAACAGGG
rnacentral:rRNA from 1 species